UACGAAGGGUGCAAACGUUGCUCGGAAUUAUUGGGCGUAAAGCGCACGUAGGCGGCUUAGCAAGUUGGAUGUGAAAUCCCUCGGCUCAACCAAGGAAGUGCAUCCAAAACUGCUGAGCUUGAGUACUAAAGAGGGUCGCGGAAUUCCCGGUGUAGAGGUGAAAUUCGUAGAUAUCGGGAGGAACACCGGUGGCGAAGGCGGCCUGCUGGGCAGUUUUGCUGACACUGAGGCGCGACAGCGUGGGGAGCAAACAGG
rnacentral:rRNA from 1 species